GAGCCAGCCACCAGGUCAGACAUGCUAAAUCUCUCCCGGGCUAAGCUAGCCGUGUGGGAACCGGGCGGGAUGAAAAGCAGGCCGGCCCGCAGCUCCUCACUACAGGUACCCCCUAGAGGGUUAUGUAUUUGGUGGAUUGCUCAUAACAGGAAGUAUCUGAAACUCGAGGAGAGGAUGUGAGACGGACAGAAUAAGCCGGAAAGCUACUGGACAUUCACUCACAGACAAGCCAAACUGCACAGACUCUGCCACCCACCACACCCGGUGCCGGGAAGAAGCAGAAACCAGCCAAGCGGCCAAAG